rnacentral:snRNA from 1 species
AGAGAGCCCAUAGAGAGGCUCU